GAGCCGCCGCCGCCCUCCCUCGCUGAGAGCCGCCGCCGCCGCCGCCCCCGCCCCCCUUUUCCCUCGCUGAGAGCCUGAUAGCCGCCUCCUCUCGGUGUCGUCGCCUCUUCAACGACCGGCCGGCGGCUCUUCGCGUCCUUCUCCCCCGGACGGCAACCUCCGCGGCUCCGGUCACCGACUCACAGUCACCGGUUUUGAGAGUUAGAAGAUGCAAGGAUGUUCUACAGUUUUCUAUUAUGAAAGUGGCUUCAAGAAUUAUGAACUUUUAUGAACUUUUGAAUGCACAAAGAUGCAUGUUUGUUAUAAUGUUAAUGGGACAAUGUAAUUUGUAUUUUGUCUAAGUUUGCAGUUUUUAUUAUUGGGUUGUAAUUUUCAGCUGGACAACAGUGUUUCAUACAUUUUAUUUUCUUUCUAUUGGCUUGAAGCUGCAAUUUUUUUCUUUUUUAAUGUUUGUAGAUAUAUCCAAAUUCCAAAGUUUGAAACCACCACCAACACUAUCUGUUUAAAAUAGGCUAGUUAUAUCCUUAACAUUAACCAAUUAACCAAUUUAGAGAGCCAUUAAGCUGUUGGGCCAUUUUUGCCCAUUUCUAGAUUCCAAA